rnacentral:rRNA from 1 species
AACGAACGCUGGCGGCAGGCCUAACACAUGCAAGUCGAGCGAGGUAGCAAUACCUAGCGGCGGACGGGUGAGUAACGCGUGGGAACGUGCCCUUUGGUACGGAAUAGCCCCGGGAAACUGGGAGUAAUACCGUAUAAGCUCUUCGGAGGAAAGAUUUAUCGCCAAAGGAUCGGCCCGCGUUGGAUUAGGUAGUUGGUGGGGUAAUGGCCUACCAAGCCGACGAUCCAUAGCUGGUUUGAGAGGAUGAUCAGCCACGCUGGGACUGAGACACGGCCCAGACUCCUACGGGAGGCAGCAGUGGGGAAUCUUAGACAAUGGGCGCAAGCCUGAUCUAGCCAUGCCGCGUGCAGGAAGAAGGCCUUCGGGUUGUAAACUGCUUUUGUACGGAACGAAAAGGCUCUGGUUAAUACCUGGGGCUCAUGACGGUACCGUAAGAAUAAGCACCGGCUAACUACGUG